rnacentral:lncRNA from 1 species
AUGGAACAUUUCGAAACAUAUCAACGAUGAAUGAAACAUUUCGGAGCAUAUAAAUAACAAAUGAAAUGUUUUGGAGCUUAUCAGUGGCGUAUGAAAUGUUCCGGAGCAUAUCAACGGCGUAUGGAAUAUUUCGGAGCAUAUCAAUAACAAAUACCAAACAGAAGCUCAAACGUCGUCUUUGACGUUGCAUUCAUAUCAUUCUUAUCCAAAGCAUGUACAGAAACACAUAACCAAAGCUCUGGAUAUCAUAUCAAACAUACAGAAGGUG